rnacentral:rRNA from 1 species
AUUAGAUUAAAGACCAAUGCCCUUCGGGGCUCUCUGGUGAUUCAUGAUAACUUCUCGAAUCGCAUGGCCUUGCGCCGGCGAUGGUUCAUUCAAAUUUCUUCCCUAUCAACUUUCGAUGUUUGGGUAUUGGCCAAACAUGGUUGCAACGGGUAACGGAGGGUUAGGGCUCGACCCCGGAGAAGGAGCCUGAGAAACGGCUACUACAUCCAAGGAAGGCAGCAGGCGCGCAAAUUACCCAAUCCCGACUCGGGGAGGUAGUGACAAUAAAUACUGAUACAGGGUUCUUUCGGAUCUUGUAAUUGGAAUGAGUACAAUUUAAAUCCCUUAACGAGGAACAAUUGGAGGGCAAGUCUGGUGCCAGCAGCCGCGGUAAUUCCAGCUCCAAUAGCGUAUAUUAAAGUUGUUGUGGUUAAAAAGCUCGUGGUUGAACCUUGGGCCUGGCUGGCCGGUCCGCCUCACCGCGUGUACUGGUCCGGCCGGGCCUUUCCCUCUGUGGAACCCUAUGCCCUUCACUGGG